rnacentral:tRNA from 1 species
GGGGUUGUGGCUCAGUGGUAGAGCGCUCGCCUCGCACGUGCGAGACCCUGGGUUCAAUCACCAGCACCACUG